GUGGACUGCCCCACGCCUCGCCCAGGGAACGGCCUGGGCGCCCAUUCAUUCAUUUAGCCGGCAACGUGUGAUGAACACCUGCGCCAGACGUCCUCAGCACCACCUGCAACGUAGGCACCAGGACCCCCCUCUUACAGGGAACAUCUGCUGAUCUUCACAUCCCCCGAAGUGAGGAAGACACGGAGGGUAUCAGGAAGAGAAUUCACGAAGACUGAAACCAGAGAAGGGCAAGAACCAGCCGCCCAGAUAGGCGACCCUGUGCCUGAGUGGACCAGCCCCCCCCC